rnacentral:rRNA from 1 species
UACGAAGGGGGCAAGCGUUGUUCGGAAUUACUGGGCGUAAAGGGCGCGUAGGCGGCUCUAGAAGUCAGGCGUGAAAGCCCCGGGCUUAACCUGGGAACUGCGCUUGAUACUCCAGGGCUUGAGUUCGGGAGAGGAGAGUGGAAUUCCCAGUGUAGAGGUGAAAUUCGUAGAUAUUGGGAAGAACACCAGUGGCGAAGGCGGCUCUCUGGACCGAUACUGACGCUGAGGCGCGAAAGCGUGGGGAGCAAACAGG